rnacentral:rRNA from 1 species
GACGUAGGGCGCGAGCGUUGUUCGGAUUUAUUGGGCGUAAAGAGCUCGUAGGCGGCUUGUCGCGUCGUCCGUGAAAACUUGGGGCUCAACCCCAAGCUUGCGGUCGAUACGGGCAGGCUAGAGUUCGGUAGGGGAGACUGGAAUUCCUGGUGUAGCGGUGAAAUGCGCAGAUAUCAGGAGGAACACCGGUGGCGAAGGCGGGUCUCUGGGCCGAUACUGACGCUGAGGAGCGAAAGCGUGGGGAGCGAACAGG